GUGCCAGCAGCCGCGGUAAUACGUAGGUGGCAAGCGUUGUCCGGAAUUAUUGGGCGUAAAGCGCGCGCAGGCGGUCCUUUAAGUCUGAUGUGAAAGCCCACGGCUUAACCGUGGAGGGUCAUUGGAAACUGGGGGACUUGAGUGCAGAAGAGGAAAGUGGAAUUCCAAGUGUAGCGGUGAAAUGCGUAGAGAUUUGGAGGAACACCAGUGGCGAAGGCGACUUUCUGGGUCUGUAACUGACGCUGAGGCGCGAAAGCGUGGGGAGCAAACAGGAUUAGAUACCCUGGUAGUCC
rnacentral:rRNA from 1 species